rnacentral:rRNA from 1 species
GAUGAACGCUGGCGGCGUGCCUAAUACAUGCAAGUCGAGCGAACAGACGAGGAGCUUGCUCCUCUGACGUUAGCGGCGGACGGGUGAGUAACACGUGGAUAACCUACCUAUAAGACUGGGAUAACUUCGGGAAACCGGAGCUAAUAACGGAUAAUAUAUUGAACCGCAUGGUUCAAUAGUGAAAGACGGUUUUGCUGUCACUUAUAGAUGGAUCCGCGCCGCAUUAGCUAGUUGGUAAGGUAACGGCUUACCAAGGCAACGAUGCGUAGCCGACCUGAGAGGGUGAUCGGCCACACUGGAACUGAGACACGGUCCAGACUCCUACGGGAGGCAGCAGUAGGGAAUCUUCCGCAAUGGGCGAAAGCUUGACGGAGCAACGCCGCGUGAGUGAUGAAGGUCUUCGGAUCGUAAAACUCUGUUAUUAGGGAAGAACAAAUGUGUAAGUAACUAUGCACGUCUUGACGGUACCUAAUCAGAAAGCCACGGCUAACUACGUG